rnacentral:lncRNA from 1 species
GACAAGACGAAACUCCGUCUCAAAAAAAAAAAAAAAAGGUAUACUAGUUGACUACUGACCACCCUUUGACAAGAUGAGGUAAAGGUGAAAAUGGAAAAGGUGAAUACUGUUUGGAGUGCUCAGUUCAGUGGUGUCUGGCAUAUUCACACAUAAGGGCAACCAUCAGCACAAUGGGUUUAGAACAUUUUCAUCACCUCAAAAAGAAACUCGUGCCCCCUUCUGGCCAACAUUUUCAGAAUGGAGGAGCCUAGAUAGAUCACAUAAUCUGGUCUUUGUAGCUAACCACACCGUGUCUCUUUUCCAGGCCACAGGUUAUAUGAGAGAGACCUUUGCCCACUUUUUAUGGGUUGUGUGUGUGUGUGUGUGUGUGUGUGUGUAUUUGUUUAAGUUCCUUGUAGACUCUGGAUAUUAGACCUUUGUGAGAUGGAUAGAUUGCAAAACUUUUCUCCCAUUCUGUAGGUUGUCUGUUUAUUCUGACGAUAGUUUCUUCUGCUGUUUCUUUUGCAUUUUAGUUUAAUUAGAUCCCAUCUGUCAGUUUUUGCUUUUGUUGCAAUUGCUUUUGGCAUUUUUGUUAUGAAA